rnacentral:tRNA from 2 species
GGCCUGGUGGUGUAGUUGGUUAUCACGUUCGCCUCACACGCGAAAGGUCCCGAGUUCCCAAGAUGCGGGUACAAGGUCU